GACGAACCGUGCGAACGUUAUUCGGAAUCACUGGGCUUAAAGCGCGUGUAGGCGGGACGGCACGUCGGUCGCUGAAAGCCCCCGGCUCAACCGGGGAAGUGGCGCCGAUACGACCGACCUGGAGGGACGUAGGGGGACCUGGAACUUCCGGUGGAGCGGUGAAAUGCGUUGAGAUCGGAAGGAACGCCCGUGGCGAAAGCGAGGUCCUGGACGUCUGCUGACGCUGAGACGCGAAAGCCAGGGGAGCGAACGGG
rnacentral:rRNA from 1 species